GGGGCUGAUUCUGGAUUCGACGGGAUUUGCGAAACCCAAGGUGCAUGCCGAGGUGCGGUAGGCCUCGUAAAUAAACCGCAAAAAAAUAGUCGCAAACGACGAAAACUACGCACUAGCAGCUUAAUAACCUGUUAUAGAGCCUUCUCUCCCUAGCCUCCGCUCGUAGGACGGGGAUCAAGAGGAGUCAAACCCAAACGAGAUCGUGUGGAAGCCUUGCUUGGGGCGGAAGCAUUAAACUUAAUCAAGCUAGUCUAUCAGUGGCGUGUUUGUUCGCAGCGGGUAGAUGAAAUUCAAAAACAAACUACGCAUGUAGUACCGAGGAUGUAGAGAUUUCGGACGCGGGUUCAACUCCCGCCAGCUCCACCA
rnacentral:tmRNA from 1 species